GACGAACGCUGGCGGCGUGCUUAACACAUGCAAGUCGAACGGAAAGGCCCUGCUUGCAGGGUACUCGAGUGGCGAACGGGUGAGUAACACGUGGGUGAUCUGCCCUGCACUUCGGGAUAAGCUUGGGAAACUGGGUCUAAUACCGGAUAGGAGCCAUCUUUAGUGUGGUGGUUGGAAAGUUUUUUCGGUGUAGGAUGAGCUCGCGGCCUAUCAGCUUGUUGGUGGGGUAAUGGCCUACCAAGGCGGCGACGGGUAGCCGGCCUGAGAGGGUGUACGGCCACAUUGUGACUGUGAUACGGCGCAGACUCCUACGGGAGGCAGCAGUGGGGAAUAUUGCACAAUGGGCGCAAGCCUGAUGCAGCGACGCCGCGUGGGGGAUGAAGGCCUUCGGGUUGUAAACUCCUUUCGCUAGGGACGAAGCUUUUUUGUGACGGUACCUAGAUAAGAAGCACCGGCUAACUACGUG
rnacentral:rRNA from 1 species